GGAUGUGCUGGCUGUGACAUCUGUCACCCCAUUGCUCUCUAGGGCCCAUGCAGCUGACCUGGCUGGCUGGGCAGGUGUCUCUCCUCCCUCGUCACACCAUGCACGUUCCUCCCAAACCUGCACACUUGGUCAAAGAGGACGAUCCCUCGUACAGGAGGACCCUUCUUGGUCACGGGCAGAGGACUAGCCAUGCUCCCCUGCCCGGACCUCCAACAGGCUCUCCAGACGUCAGGGCAGGCGUGUUCCUGCUCAUUGCUCCUGUCAUUUGAUGCA
rnacentral:snRNA from 1 species